AAUUCUCAACCUUUUCAGCUUUUACGAGUUUGAUUAGGCUUGGAUGUGGGUGUUGCGGGCUUCUCAGAAGUCGGCUCUCCUGAAAUGCAUUAGUAAGACCUUUGUUGACCGUCUUUGGUGUGAUAAUUAUCUACGCCACAGUGGGUUAGCUUUAAUGUGGGGUCUUGCUUAUAACCGUCCUUAUGGACAAUUCUUGACA
rnacentral:misc_RNA from 1 species